UGGGGAAUUUUGGACAAUGGGCGCAAGCCUGAUCCAGCCAUGCCGCGUGUCUGAAGAAGGCCUUCGGGUUGUAAAGGACUUUUGUCGGGGAAGAAAAGGUCGGGGUUAAUACCCCCGGCUGAUGACGGUACCCGAAGAAUAAGCACCGGCUAACUACGUGCCAGCAGCCGCGGUAAUACGUAGGGUGCGAGCGUUAAUCGGAAUUACUGGGCGUAAAGCGGGCGCAGACGGUUACUUAAGCAGGAUGUGAAAUCCCCGGGCUCAACCCGGGAAUUGCGUUCUGAACUGGGUGGCUAGAGUGUGUCAGAGGGGGGUAGAAUUCCACGUGUAGCAGUGAAAUGCGUAGAGAUGUGGAGGAAUACCGAUGGCGAAGGCAGCCUCCUGGGAUAACACUGACGUUCAUGCCCGAAAGCGUGGGUAGCAAACAGGAUUAGAUACCCUGGUAGUCCACGCCCUAAACGAUGUCGAUUAGCUGUUGGGCAGCCUGACUGCUUGGUAGCGAAGCUAACGCGUGAAAUCGACCGCCUGGGGAGUACGGUCGCAAGAUUA
rnacentral:rRNA from 1 species